CAAAAUAAAGCUUAAAAGUAAAGCGUCUCACUUACAUUGAGAAGAUUUAUUGUGCGAAUCAAUUUGUUUUGA
rnacentral:tRNA from 1 species